UGGUGGACGGAGUGGUGGUUUUAGGCGGUUUCCCUCUUUGUUUCAGAGACAAUUUGGAGCUACAAUUCGAAGUUCACCCAAACCGGGCUGAGGAUUGUGCGAUUAGGGCUGAGGACUGUGCGACUGCUACUGGUGGUUUUCGGCCAUAGUCAGCUUCUGAGUUGGUGGGUUCCAGCGACGCUCAGGUUUGUAGACCCAAAGGUACAUAGACGUGUCAAGGAAAUACUUGAACAAUGUCUUGAUGGAGAUUGGGUCACGUUUAAAAAGAUCCCCCAAAACGUAAAGACGCGCAUGUUUGAUCGCUUCCGGACUAUGUAUAGAUGGGAUCCAAAAACACACCAGAGCAUACGUCAUGCAUUUAUUUGCGUGCUUAAAGAUCGAUUAGAGGCAUAAUGAGCAA